AUUGAACGCUGGCGGCAUGCUUUACACAUGCAAGUCGAACGGCAGCGCGGGCUUCGGCCUGGCGGCGAGUGGCGAACGGGUGAGUAAUGCAUCGGAACGUGCCCAGUAGUGGGGGAUAGCCCGGCGAAAGCCGGAUUAAUACCGCAUACGACCUGAGGGUGAAAGCGGGGGGCCGAAAGGCCUCGCGCUAUUGGAGCGGCCGAUGUCGGAUUAGCUAGUUGGUGGGGUAAAGGCUUACCAAGGCGACGAUCCGUAGCUGGUCUGAGAGGACGACCAGCCACACUGGGACUGAGACACGGCCCAGACUCCCACGGGAGGCAGCAGUGGGGAAUUUUGGACAAUGGGGGCAACCCUGAUCCAGCCAUGCCGCGUGCGGGAAGAAGGCCUUCGGGUUGUAAACCGCUUUUGUUCGGGAAGAAAUCCUCUGGGCUAAUACCCCGGGGGGAUGACGGUACCGGAAGAAUAAGCACCGGCUAACUACGUG
rnacentral:rRNA from 1 species